AACGCUAGCUACAGGCUUAACACAUGCAAGUCGAGGGGCAGCAUGAACUUAGCUUGCUAAGUUUGAUGGCGACCGGCGCACGGGUGAGUAACGCGUAUCCAACCUUCCGUACACUCAGGAAUAGCCUUUCGAAAGAAAGAUUAAUACCUGAUGGUAUGAUGAGAUUGCAUGAAAUCAUCAUUAAAGAUUCAUCGGUGUACGAUGGGGAUGCGUUCCAUUAGAUAGUAGGCGGGGUAACGGCCCACCUAGUCGACGAUGGAUAGGGGUUCUGAGAGGAAGGUCCCCCACAUUGGAACUGAGACACGGUCCAAACUCCUACGGGAGGCAGCAGUGAGGAAUAUUGGUCAAUGGGCGCGAGCCUGAACCAGCCAAGUAGCGUGAAGGAUGAAGGUCCUACGGAUUGUAAACUUCUUUUAUAAGGGAAUAAAGUCACCUACGUGUAGGUGUUUGUAUGUACCUUAUGAAUAAGCAUCGGCUAACUCCGUGCCAGCAGCCGCGGUAAUACGGAGGAUGCGAGCGUUAUCCGGAUUUAUUGGGUUUAAAGGGAGCGUAGACGGGUCGUUAAGUCAGCUGUGAAAGUUUGAGGCUCAACCUUAAAAUUGCAGUUGAUACUGGUUCCCUUGAGUGCAGUUGAGGCAGGCGGAAUUCGUGGUGUAGCGGUGAAAUGCAUAGAUAUCACGAAGAACUCCGAUUG
rnacentral:rRNA from 1 species